ensembl:lncRNA
GUUCCCAGUCUCAGUAUUGAGAUGGGUGGAGCAUGCAAAGCUCCUUCUUGAAGAUCUUUAUCUGCACAAGUGAAAGCAAAAGCGCUGUUUCCCAGGACACGGGAAAAAUACCCUUCAAACGUUGGCUUCAAAUUGGGAGUGUGGAGAAUAUUCCUAGGACCCCGAAGCAGGUUGGGUUAGGGCCAGCCAUUACUUUUCUCAGCCCAAAUUAGUCCCAGGAGGAUACCGUCUGCGAACCCUCAUCAGCCCAAACACUCUGGGAAGGGAACGUUUCUGCCCCGCUUGAGUAACAGAAAGCAGGGACUAGGAUAUCCAUGACGCCCAGGACCCAGCCCAGUCCUUCCCUCGCCGCAGUCUGUACGCAACCCUGAACUCCCAGGAACCCUCCACUUUCAUCCACUGGCCUCAUGUAGCCCAGUCACUCGCAAAUGUACACGCAAGCAUGACACGGGAACACAAUUUCCAUGGUUUAUUUUGCAAACUGGCACUUUAAAUUCCCUCAAUUGAAAUGCUCGAGUACACGCUGGCCUUAUGGCCGGAUUUUGGAAACACAUGCUAUGGUAUAUCUUGCAGAAUGUAAGACUCUUAAGGUAAGUCAAGAGUGGUCCCUACACAUUUCCGUUUGGUGGCACGGGGAAAUGCAAAGGACAGGACACGGCCUCUUGGAUUCUACGGGAGGAAAAAACUCAGCUCAGGGCUGAACUGAGAUCCUUGGUCACUGACCAUCUAUCUCCCCUGGAUGGUACAAAGUCCCUAUCAGGGCAAACUAGAGACAGGGGAGAUGAGAUGGUCGUCACCUCAGAUGAGGGCACGCUGGAGCCUGGAGAUGCACUGGAAGCUGUGGCUCCAGUCCGGCAUCUGUGGAUGAAAAGUGCGGGAACAGUGGAGCCGAACUGUUAUUGUAGCUCUCAAAACUCCUCGUUUCCCAAACCAGCUCCUGAGAUGCUCUCCUCAAACGGGGACACACAAAAUGAAAGCACUUUCCUGUCACGAACACGGCAAGCGCCCCCAUUUUGAGUCUCACAGCCUGAGCGCUUGGAACCGGUUCCUGGUUGUAGAAGGAGCUGAAGACCUUUGAACCCUCACGAGGUGAGGGUUCCACUCAAGAGUUGGAUUCUAGAAAUUGCUAUAGAUUUACUCAUGCCAACAAGUAGAAAUCAUGACACUAUCGACCCAGGGCCACAGAAACCUUUCUAAAGACAGGGAAGGAAAGCACGUCAGUUGCACGGUUUUGUGCAAACGGCUCUGUGGUUCGAGCUGGUACCGACCUUCCAUUCCCCAUUUCAGAGUCUCUCCCCAUCAGCAAGCACUUCGGCUGUGUGACUGCGGUGGCGAGUCCAGGCAUCCCUCAAGUGCACGAGCCUUUUGCAGUGUUACCUGGAGUCUCCAGCCAGCCUUCCGGCAUCUUAGAGGACAACAUCCAUGCUGAACAAACCAUUUCCUGUUCCUGACAAAUUUCCCCAUGGCUAUCAGGAUGCCAGAGAUUGAUAACCCCUGACAAAGUCACCACAGCAGGGUAGUGAUAUUCUAGAACAGCUUGGGUUCCGUGGAGGGUGCCCACCGGCGACACUCAAAUGUCGCAGCACUUUCCAUCCCGAUGUUCGAAGAGUGCUUCCACAUUUGAGUCCCGCAGGCUGAGCAGCUGACCCGGGACCUUUGCCCAGAGGAAGCCUGGACUGGACACGGCCAGAUCCAAGCCCUGUCCUAGCUACCCCAAUGCUUGGCAAGGACCAUUUAGCAUCUGCCAACUAGAAGGUACUUUCUCAACCGGUAACACUCAAAAAAUGGCGGCACUUCCCUACGUAGCACAGAAAGUGCCCCCACAGUUUGAGUAGCACAAGUUGAGUAAUUCCACACAAGAGACUCCCCAUCGCCGACUGAAGGACUUACCAGACAAAGGAACGCUUGCAAAUGAUUACCGUAAAUCUGCCUUAAUCCUAAAAUAGGGAGACUGGAAAAGGUUAAAAGAAAAUUCGAUCAUGGAAAUUAGGCUCACAUUCAUCACCACCAUAGGUAACAGAAAAGAAAGACUUUCCAGCGGAUAAUGAGAUUUCACUGCAUAUACCCACGUCACCAAACUAAGAACUUAAAUUACCGCUUUGGUUUGGUUACCUGGAGCCUAUCACGUGACUCCGUUUGGCGCCUGUUUUGUUUCGACGUGCCAAACCAGAGAAAAAUGGCUGACUCAAAAGACGUACCUCGUUAUUACCCCACGAAGCACGUAGGAAGACUAAGGGUUCCUUCGCCCCUCAAGGUAUCCUUGGAAAGAGAACCCGACGCCACCCAGGAGCUUCUGGAUGCAGGAAGCCGAGACAGCGGUGCAGAGAGCCGUUUGCAUAUAGGAGUUUGUAACACGUUAGAUGACGGGAGUUCAGAGUGAAAUGAGGUGUGAGGGAGGAAAGCAUUGAAUGAAAUUUCAGAAGCCAGAAAGCGCAAGGAAACCUCUUAAGGAUGGAGGUAAAGGAGAUACCAUGCGGACGAUACUUACGCAGUGCGCGGAGGGAAAAACUUGAGGUCCCACCGCGUCUCUUUCCUGGCAAGGAAGAAACGAGCGCUGCUGGGCUCUUAUA